UUUCUUCGGAUUGAAGUCUUUGUGACUGAGCGGCGGACGGGUGAGUAACGCGUGGGUAACCUGCCUCAUACAGGGGGAUAACAGUUAGAAAUGACUGCUAAUACCGCAUAAGCGCACAGGAUCGCAUGGUCUGGUGUGAAAAACUCCGGUGGUAUGAGAUGGACCCGCGUCUGAUUAGCUAGUUGGAGGGGUAACGGCCCACCAAGGCGACGAUCAGUAGCCGGCCUGAGAGGGUGAACGGCCACAUUGGGACUGAGACACGGCCCAGACUCC
rnacentral:rRNA from 1 species